rnacentral:rRNA from 1 species
UACGUAGGGGGCGAGCGUUGUCCGGAUUUAUUGGGCGUAAAGAGCUCGUAGGCGGCUCGGUAAGUCGGAUGUGAAACCUCCAGGCUCAACCUGGAGACGCCAUCUGAUACUGCCGUGGCUUGAGUCCGGUAGAGGAGCAGGGAAUUCCUGGUGUAGCGGUGAAAUGCGCAGAUAUCAGGAGGAACACCUGCGGUGUAGACGGCUUACUGGACCAUAACUGACGCUGAGGCACGAAAGCGUGGGUAGCAAACAGG